rnacentral:rRNA from 1 species
AGAGCGAACGCUGGCGGCAGGCCUAACACAUGCAAGUCGAGCGCCCGUAGCAAUACGGGAGCGGCAGACGGGAUAGUAACACGUGGGAACGCGCCCUUCGGUUCGGAAUAACUCAGGGAAACUUGAGCUAAUACCGGAUACGCCCUUACGGGGAAAGAUUUAUUGCCGAAGGAACGGCCCGCGUCCGAUUAGCUAGUUGGUGAGGUAAUGGCUCACCAAGGCGACGAUCGGUAGCUGGUCUGAGAGGAUGACCAGCAUCACUGGGACUGAGACACGGCCCAGACUCCUACGGGAGGCAGCAGUGGGGAAUAUUGGACAAUGGGCGCAAGCCUGAUCCAGCCAUGCCGCGUGGAUGAUGAAGGCCUUAGGGUUGUAAAGUCCGUUUUAACGGGGAAGAUAAUGACGGUACCGUAGAAUAAGCCCAGGCUAACUUCGCGCCAGCAGCCGC